UCUCAGCUCGGCGCCAUAUUAUGGGAAUCAAAAGAUGAAGAUUACAGUACAAAUUGAGAACGUGCACAGAAAGCUUUUCUUAAUGUGGACGCAGGUUUACAGCUCAGCCUCUGUCCCAUAUCUGGCUGAGGAGACUGUGGAUAAUCCAGAACAUCACCAGUGGAAAAAAAGGUGUGAAUGCAUCCUCAAAGCCCUUGUGAGGGAGUACACAGAUGCUGGACAUGAUGAAGCACAAACCUUGAUGUGCAACACCACCUUAUGAAUCUACAGUAGUUACAUUAACAUUUAUCAGACUCUUUUGUCUAAAGUGACUUACAAUUGAGGACACAUUCAGCAAAUCAACAAGAAGAGGC